UCCGCGCAUGCGCAGGCUCCUCAGCCGCCGGGGGUGCGCGGAGAAAAGGGGCGGGGUGGUCCGAGCUGCUGUGCUGGCAGCAGUAGACGAGGGCGCGGCUGCGGGGUUCCUGGUGCCCAGGACCGACGCCAUUGGAGCCCCAGGGAAGGCUGAGCUGUCUCCUCCUUGGGACCCGCGGCAUGGCUGAGAGAAGCCGCAGCGGGCAGUCGGGAAACUCCAACUCUGGAGACAUGGAUGAGGGGAGCCAGCGAGCCAGGGAGGAAGAGAUGGUUGGAGGCAACGACUAUGAAGAAUUUGGUGCUUUCGGUGGCUAUGGCACCCUCACCAGCCUUGACAUCCAUCUCCUGAGAGCCUUUGGGAGCUUGGGUUCAGGCUUUCGCUUCUUAGCGAAUGAGCCCUGGGAACUGGAAAACCCCGCGCUGGCCCAGACCCUGGUGGAGGCAUUGCAGCUGGAUCCGGACACCCUUGCCAAUGAGACGGAGGCGCGCGCUGCCAACGUAGCCCGCUCUGCCGCCUCCAACCGAGCCAAUCGGGCUGCUGCCUCUGCUGCCCGCAGGUCCUUCAACCAGGCCAUCUCCAACCAGAUGAGGGCCGCACAGCAGGCCCUAGUAGAGGACGCCCAGCCAAUGACAUAUGCCGAGGCUCAGGGGGCCACCCCUGAGACCAGCCAUGCCUCUCAGCAGACCUCCCAGACGCUAGUCGCCAGUGAGGGGGCUGCCCCUGGGGCUCCAGCACCCUCCACACAGCCCCAGACAGCCUUCCUGGCGCAGGAAGCCGCUGCAGAGGGCCCUAGCACCGCCUGUGCUUUCACUCAGGCUCCAAGUGCCAGCGAGAGGGAUGCCACCCAGCCCCAGACAGCCUUCCUGGGCCAGAAGGAUGUCUUUGAUUUCACUCAGCCGGCAGGUGUCAGUGGCAUGGCCUUCCCUCGUCCCAAGAGACCUGCCCCGGCCCAAGAGGCCCCCACACAGGGUCCCAGUGCUGCCUGUUGUGUGCCCCAGGCAGCACCUGCCAGGGAGGGGUCAGCCACCCGGCCCAAGACCACCAAGUCUGGGAAGGCGCUGGCCAAGACUCGGUGGGUGGAGCCUCAGAAUGUGGCUGCAGCUGCUGCUGCCAAGGCCAAGGCGGCCACAAGCAUCCCCGAGCAGGAGGGGGCAGCUGCCACUGCCCAGCACAGUGCUGAGCCCUGGACCAGAAUGGGAGGCAAGAGGACAAAGAAGGUAUGGACUCCUGUGCCAUCGACACAGCCCCUUGCUCCCCUGCCUUGCCCCUUCUCUCCCCCUUCUCCUCUC
ensembl:lincRNA melanoma-associated antigen D4-like